rnacentral:rRNA from 1 species
GAUGAACGCUGGCGGCGUGCCUAAUACAUGCAAGUCGAGCGAACAGACGAGGAGCUUGCUUCUCUGACGUUAGCGGCGGACGGGUGAGUAACACGUGGAUAACCUACCUAUAAGACUGGGAUAACUUCGGGAAACCGGAGCUAAUACCGGAUAAUAUAUUGAACCGCAUGGUUCAAUAGUGAAAGACGGUUUUGCUGUCACUUAUAGAUGGAUCCGCGCCGCAUUAGCUAGUUGGUAAGGUAACGGCUUACCAAGGCAACGAUGCGUAGCCGACCUGAGAGGGUGAUCGGCCACACUGGAACUGAGACACGGUCCAGACUCCUACGGGAGGCAGCAGUAGGGAAUCUUCCGCAAUGGGCGAAAGCCUGACGGAGCAACGCCGCGUGAGUGAUGAAGGUCUUCGGAUCGUAAAACUCUGUUAUUAGGGAAGAACAAAUGUGUAAGUAACUAUGCACGUCUUGACGGU